rnacentral:rRNA from 1 species
CUGGGUGCCGGCUUGUAUGGCUACAUCGACAAAACCAUAGCGGAGCCUCCCAAGACAAUCAUCGCCAAGGAUAAAGAUGGCAAGGAUUAGGAGAUGUCGAACCCUGCCUAUGCCCCCUGGCUAGUCCAGGAUCAGCAAACCAUUGCCUACCUUCUCCGAAACCUCUCCAAGGAGGUCCUCGUCCAGGUGGCUUCGCUGGAGACCUCGCAUGCAAUAUGGAUGGCGCUCUCCAACAAGUUUGCUGCGGUCUCCCUCUCUCGCGUCAACAAUCUUCGUGGUGCCCUCACCAACGCCCAAAAGGGCACACAAUCUGCCUCAACAUACUUUGGCUAUAUGCGU